rnacentral:misc_RNA from 1 species
AUCCCGCGUAUCUUCUUCGGAACCCCGCCUCGAAGCGCGAGGUGUGGGAAGAUAUGAAGCUCGUGCGCAGUCUGCUGCAGCCCUGAGUUCGAUCGUUCGAUUGUUGGCAGCAGGCUCGGUGCAUCAGGGACACCAGGGCACCAAGCUCAGACAACUUGGCUUUCCUCCGUGUCCGUUGUGUCCUUCGUGGCGAAUGCCGCGGCGAUAAACUGAAAACCGCUGGACGUGGUGAACCCGCACACUCU